AACGAACGCUGGCGGCAGGCCUAACACAUGCAAGUCGAGCGAGGACUUCGGUCCUAGCGGCGGACGGGGGAGUAACGCGUGGGAACGUGCCCUUUGCUUCGGAAUAGUCCUGGGAAACUUGGAUUAAUACCGGAUGAGCUCUUUGGGGGUAAGAUUUAUCGGCGAAGGAUCGGCCCGCGUUGGAUUAGGUAGUUGGUGGGGUAAUGGCCUACCAAGCCGACGAUCCAUAGCUGGUUUGAGAGGAUGAUCAGCCACACUGGGACUGAGACACGGCCCAGUCUCCUACGGGAGGCAGCAGUGGGGAGUCUUAGGCAAUGGGGCAAACCCUGAUCUAGCCGUGCCGGGUGAGCGAUGAAUGCCUUAGGGUUGUAAAGCUCUUUCAGCUGGGAAGAUAAUGACGGUACCAGCAGAAGAAGCCCCGGCUAACUCCGUG
rnacentral:rRNA from 1 species